GGGGAUAUAGCUCAGUUGGUAGAGUGCUUGCCUCACACACACAAGGCUCUGCAUUCAAUCCCCAGCAUCCCCA
rfam:Ictidomys tridecemlineatus contig059260, whole genome shotgun sequence.